GACGGGGGGGCAAGUGUUCUUCGGAAUGACUGGGCGUAAAGGGCACGUAGGCGGUGAAUCGGGUUGAAAGUGAAAGUCGCCAAAAAGUGGCGGAAUGCUCUCGAACCAAUUCACUUGAGUGAGACAGAGGAGAGUGGAAUUUCGUGUGUAGGGUGAAAUCCGUAGAUCUACGAAGGAACGCCAAAGCGAAGGCAGCUCUCUGGUCCUACCGACGCUGAGGUGCGAAGCGUGGAGCAACAGG
rnacentral:rRNA from 1 species